GCUACACAUGCAGUCGAGCGGAUGAAGGGAGCUUGCUCCUGGAUUCAGCGGCGGACGGGUGAGUAAUGCCUAGGAAUCUGCCUGGUAGUGGGGGAUAACGUCCGGAAACGGGCGCUAAUACCGCAUACGUCCUGAGGGAGAAAGUGGGGGAUCUUCGGACCUCACGCUAUCAGAUGAGCCUAGGUCGGAUUAGCUAGUUGGUGGGGUAAAGGCCUACCAAGGCGACGAUCCGUAACUGGUCUGAGAGGAUGAUCAGUCACACUGGAACUGAGACACGGUCCAGACUCCUACGGGAGGCAGCAGUGGGGAAUAUUGGACAAUGGGCGAAAGCCUGAUCCAGCCAUGCCGCGUGUGUGAAGAAGGUCUUCGGAUUGUAAAGCACUUUAAGUUGGGAGGAAGGGCAGUAAGUUAAUACCUUGCUGUUUUGACGUUACCAAGAAAAAUA
rnacentral:rRNA from 1 species